rnacentral:rRNA from 1 species
GACGAACGCUGGCGGCGUGCUUAACACAUGCAAGUCGAACGGAAAGGCCCUGCUUUUGUGGGGUGCUCGAGUGGCGAACGGGUGAGUAACACGUGAGUAACCUGCCCUUUACUUUGGGAUAACUUCAGGAAACUGGGGCUAAUACCGGAUAGGAGCUCCUGCUGCAUGGUGGGGGUUGGAAAGUUUCGGCGGUUGGGGAUGGACUCGCGGCUUAUCAGCUUGUUGGUGGGGUAGUGGCUUACCAAGGCUUUGACGGGUAGCCGGCCUGAGAGGGUGACCGGCCACAAUGGGACUGAGAUACGGCGCAGACUCCUACGGGAGGCAGCAGUGGGGAAUAUUGCACAAUGGGCGGAAGCCUGAUGCAGCAACGCCGCGUGCGGGAUGACGGCCUUCGGGUUGUAAACCGCUUUCGCCUGUGACGAAGCGUGAGUGACGGUAAUGGGUAAAGAAGCACCGGCUAACUACGUG